rnacentral:rRNA from 1 species
GCAGCCGCGGUAAUACGUAGGUCCCGAGCGUUGUCCGGAUUUAUUGGGCGUAAAGCGAGCGCAGGCGGUUUAAUAAGUCUGAAGUUAAAGGCAGUGGCUUAACCAUUGUUCGCUUUGGAAACUGUUAGACUUGAGUGCAGAAGGGGAGAGUGGAAUUCCAUGUGUAGCGGUGAAAUGCGUAGAUAUAUGGAGGAACACCGGUGGCGAAAGCGGCUCUCUGGUCUGUAACUGACGCUGAGGCUCGAAAGCGUGGGGAGCAAACAGGAUUAGAUACCCC